AUCUAUCUGACGAGUCAAAAAUGGGACGAAACGCGCGUCCUGGAU
rfam:Schistosoma rodhaini strain Burundi genome assembly, scaffold: SROB_scaffold0019467